UUGAUGUUCAGUUGUUCAAUUGAUGUUCAGUUGUUCAAUUUAUGAUGUUGUAUUUUUGUUUUUUUUUUUUUGGUAGAACAAUGCUUGUAGAUUUUGUGGGUGACACAUUUACAUGCAUUCAUUCAUGAUGGCGGACAAACAGAAUAAUAAUUUCAACAGCAUCUUUCAACAGACACUAAAUUUAUCUACACUCCAAACAGUAUAUAACUAUUCGAUUCAUGGAAAUAAAAACACUUUACAAGUUGAAGCUGUGUCAUUUGGAUGAAAUAUCUCGAAAAUGUGGUGCGACUCUUGAACCCAUGUUCAUCAGAUUCAUGGUACAAGGGAGUAAGGAAAUUCCCAUUCACCGUAGUAAAAGAGCCAUUCACAGUCCUUAAGCUACCCCCCAAGUGUACGAUCAUAUCAUGGCCACCUCUGGUGAAUAAGGGUGGCGAGAGGUUAAAACGGGUUGCGUAAAGCAAAAAUGCCUUAAUAUUAAAUUAUAUAUUUACAGUACUAUA